rnacentral:pre_miRNA from 1 species
AGGUGGAUAGGUUGUGUAGAUUCACGGAUAUUAUGAUAUGUAAUCUACCAACUGCUCCAUUCGU